CCUACGGGGGACAGCAGUGAGGAAUAUUGGUCAAUGGACGAGAGUCUGAACCAGCCAAGUCGCGUGAAGGAUGACUGCACUAUGGGUUGUAAACUUCUUUUAUAUGGGAAUAAACUGUUCCACGUGUGGGCUUUUGAAUGUACCUUAUGAAUAAGGAUCGGCUAACUCCGUGCCAGCAGCCGCGGUAAUACGGAGGAUCCGAGCGUUAUCCGGAUUUAUUGGGUUUAAAGGGAGCGUAGGCGGAGUGUUAAGUCAGGUGUUAAAGUUCGGGGCUCAACCGCAACACUGCAGUUGAAACUGGCAGUCUUGAGUACAGUAGAGGUGUGCGGAAUGCGUGGUGUAGCGGUGAAAUGCUUAGAUAUCACGAAGAACUCCGAUUGCGAAGGCAGUUCACUGGACUGCAACUGACACUGAGGCUCGAAAGUGUGGGUAUCAAACAGGAUUAGAUACCCUAGUAGUC
rnacentral:rRNA from 1 species